CAAAGUGCUGACAUUGCAGGUAG
rnacentral:miRNA from 1 species